UGUUCUGAACUACUUUUUUAA
rnacentral:piRNA from 1 species